rnacentral:rRNA from 1 species
UACGGAGGGUGCAAGCGUUAUCCGGAUUCACUGGGUUUAAAGGGAGCGCAGGCGGAUUGGUAAGUCAGUGGUGAAAGGCUUGAGCUUAACUCGGGAACUGCCAUUGAUACUAUCAGUCUUGAAUAUUGUUGAGGUUUGCGGAAUGGGUCAUGUAGCGGUGAAAUGCAUAGAUAUGACCCGGAACACCUAUUGCGAAGGCAGCUUACUACACAGUGAUUGACACUGAGGCACGAAAGCGUGGGGAUCAAACAGG